CCUACGGGGAGCUGCAGUGAGGAAUAUUGGUCAAUGGCCGGAAGGCUGAACCAGCCAAGUCGCGUGAGGGACGACUGCCCUAUGGGUUGUAAACCUCUUUUAUCAGGGAAGAAUAAAUGCUACGUGUAGCAUGAUGCCUGUACCUUAUGAAUAAGCAUCGGCUAACUCCGUGCCAGCAGCCGCGGUAAUACGGAGGAUGCGAGCGUUAUCCGGAUUUAUUGGGUUUAAAGGGUGCGUAGGCGGUUUUUUAAGUUAGUGGUAAAACGUCGGGGCUUCACCUUGAUUUGCCAUUAAUACUGUAAGACGCGAGUUCAGACGAGGUAGGCGGAAUAAGUUAAGUAGCGGUGAAAUGCUUAGAUAUAACUUAGAACUCCGAUAGCGAAGGCAGCUUGCCAGACUGCGACUGACGCUGAAGCACGAGAGCGUGGGUAGCGAACAGGAUUAGAUACCCCGGUAGUC
rnacentral:rRNA from 1 species